rnacentral:lncRNA from 1 species
AAUUUAGCCCUGUUAGCUCACUGUUGUGAUCAACGUGAAGAGCUAAUUUUGCCAUGUCCAUGUUAACAUUUCCAUGGGCUUCUCAGGUGUUUUCAGGCAUCUUCUCUUGAUGUUUCUGAGGCUGACCUCCCCUCCUGCCUCCCAUCCUUGAGACUUGGCUGGCUCCAGCAUCUCCCCAGCCCACCACGACACCUCUGCAGCAACGGAGUGAAGGAGAGUGAAAUCCCUCCUUUACCAAGACAGGCCUCUGGCGGUUGAACCAUGAUGAAACUGUUCUCUGCAAGUCUUUAACAUGGUACAUGAAGGUCUAAAGGAGCAAGUUGAGGAUCUACAAAAUCAAGCAAGGAGACAAAGGUGGUGGACUGCUGAGCUGUCCUGCUGGGACUACUGGGACUCCGUGGUGACCGACUGCUCAGUGCGGUAAGGAAUGCUGGAUCUGCUUCAAUAUGUAUUUUUAAUUGGGUUGAAGGGAAACAAGAUCAGCCCUUCACUUUUUUAAAUAUGGGAGGCAUUCAUU